rnacentral:rRNA from 1 species
UACAGAGGGUGCGAGCGUUAAUCGGAUUUACUGGGCGUAAAGGGCGCGUAGGUGGUUAAUUAAGUGGGAUGUGAAAGCCCCGGGCUUAACCUGGGAAGUGCAUUUCAAACUGAUUAACUGGAGUACGAGAGAGGGUGGUGGAAUUUCCGGUGUAGCGGUGAAAUGCGUAGAGAUCGGAAAGAACGUCAAUGGCGAAGGCAGCCACCUGGCUCGAUACUGACACUGAGGCGCGAAAGCGUGGGUAGCGAACAGG